UAAUGCCCUAUGAAAUCCUAAA
rnacentral:miRNA from 1 species